UGGGGGAUAUUGCACAAUGGGCGAAAGCCUGAUGCAGCGACGCCGCGUGGGGGAUGAAGGCCUUCGGGUUGUAAACUUCUUUUGCUCUGAACAAGGCAUGCUAAUGGGUGUGUUGAGUGUAGGGGUUGAUUAGCGCCGGCUAACUACGUGCCAGCAGCCGCGGUAAUACGUAGGGCGCGAGCGUUGUCCGGAAUUAUUGGGCGUAAAGGGCUUGUAGGUGGCUGGUUGCGUCUGUCGUGAAAGCUCAUGGCUUAACUGUGGGUUUGCGGUGGGUACGGGCUGGCUUGAGUGCAGUAGGGGAGGCUGGAAUUCCGGGUGUAGCGGUGGAAUGCGCAGAUAUGAGGAGGAAUACCGGUGGCGAAGGCGGGUCUCUGGGCUGUUACUGACACUGAGGAGCGAAAGCAUGGGGAGCGAACAGG
rnacentral:rRNA from 1 species